rnacentral:rRNA from 1 species
GACAUGCUAGUCGAGUGACUCAGGCAAAACGAGUCACGGCACACAGCUCAGUAACACGUGGCUAAUCUGCCCUUGAGACGAGAACAACCCCGGGAAACUGGGGCUAACUCUCGAUAGGUGAAGAACUCUGGAAUGAGUCUUUGCCUAAAUAACUUCACGUUAUCCUCGUGAAGUUGCUCAAGGAUGAGGCCGCGACCGAUCAGGUUGUUGGCGAGGUAAUGGCUCACCAAGCCUUUUACCGGUGCGGGCCGUGGGAGCGGGAGCCCGGAGAUGGGUACUGAGACAAGGACCCAGGCCCUACGGGGCGCAGCAGUCGCGAAAACUUUGCAAUAAGCGCAAGCUUGACAGGGCUAUCCCGAGUGCCAUCCGCUGAGGAAGGCUUUUACCCAGUCUAGAACGCUGGGGGAAUAAGGAGAGGGCAAGUCUGGUGUCAGCCGCCGCGGUAAUACCAGCUCUCCGAGUGGUGUGGAUGUUUAUUGGGCCUAAAGCAUCCGUAGCUGGCUAAGUCAGUCCCUUGUUAAAUCCACCGAAUUAAUCGUUGGAUUGCGGGGGAUACUGCUUGGCUAGGGGACGAGAGAGGCAGACGGUAUUUUCGGGGUAGGGGUGAAAUCCUAUAAUCCCGGGAAGACCACCAGUGGCGAAGGCUGUCUGCUAGAACGCGCCCGACGGUGAGGGAUGAAAGCUGGGGGAGCGAACCGGAUUAGAUACCCGGGUAGUCCCAGCUGUAAACGAUGCAAACUAGGUGUUUGAACGGCCACGUGCCGUUCUAGUGCCGCAGGGAAGCUGUUAAGUUUGCCGCCUGGGGAGUACGAUCGCAAGAUUGAAACUUAA